rnacentral:rRNA from 1 species
GACGAACGCUGGCGGCGUGCUUAACACAUGCAAGUCGAACGGAAAGGCCCUGCUUUUGUGGGGUGCUCGAGUGGCGAACGGGUGAGUAACACGUGAGUAACCUGCCCUUGACUUUGCGAUAACUUCAGGAAACUGGGGCUAAUACCGGAUAGGAGCUCCUGCUGCAUGGUGGGGGUUGGAAAGUUUCGGCGGUUGGGGAUGGACUCGCGGCUUAUCAGCUUGUUGGUGGGGUAGUGGCUUACCAAGGCUUUGACGGGUAGCCGGCCUGAGAGGGUGACCGGCCACAUUGGGACUGAGAUACGGCCCAGACUCCUACGGGAGGCAGCAGUGGGGAAUAUUGCACAAUGGGCGGAAGCCUGAUGCAGCAACGCCGCGUGCGGGAUGACGGCCUUCGGGUUGUAAACCGCUUUCGCCUGUGACGAAGCGUGAGUGACGGUAAUGGGUAAAGAAGCACCGGCUAACUACGU